CCAGCCAUCAUUUAAAGAAAGCGUAAUAGCUCACUGAUCGAGUCGUCCUGCGCGGAAGAUGUAACGGGGCUAAGCCAGUUACCGAAGCUGCGGAUUUGCAAUUUAUUGCAAGUGGUAGGAGAGCGUUCUGUAAGCCCGUGAAGGUGCGUUGUAAAGCGUGCUGGAGGUAUCAGAAGUGCGAAUGCUGACAUGAGUAGCGUUAAAGGGGGUGAAAAGCCCCCUCGCCGUAAGCGCAAGGUUUUCUACGCAACGUUCAUCGGCGUAGAGUGAGUCGGCCCCUAAGGCGAGGCAGAGAUGCGUAGCUGAUGGGAAACAGGUCAAUAUUCCUGUACCGAUGUGUAGUGCGAUGUGGGGACGGAUCUUAAUAGGUCAUCCAGGUGUUGGAUAUCCUGGUUUAGUUGGAUGUAGGCGAUGGGUAGGCAAAUCCGCCCGUCAUAUACCGAGGCCAACGAUCGAGCAAGCUUGCUUGCGAAGUGACUGAACGAGGUUCCAGGAAAAGCCACUAAGCUUCAGCUGCACACGACCGUACCGCAAACCGACACUGGUGCGCGAGAUGAGUAUUCUAAGGCGCUUGAGAGAACUCAGGAGAAGGAACUCGGCAAAUUGACACCGUAACUUCGGAAGAAGGUGUGCCCUAUUAGUGUGAAGUGAACAACGGAGCAUGAAUGGGUUGCAAAAAAUCGGUGGCUGCGACUGUUUAUUAAAAACACAGCACUCUGCAAACACGAAAGUGGACGUAUAGGGUGUGACGCCUGCCCGGUGCUGGAAGAUUAAAUGAUGGGGUGCAAGCUCUUGAUUGAAGUCCCAGUAAACGGCGGCCGUAACUAUAACGGUCCUAAGGUAGCGAAAUUCCUUGUCGGGUAAGUUCCGACCUGCACGAAUGGCGUAACGAUGGCCACACUGUCUCCUCCUGAGACUCAGCGAAGUUGAAAUGUUUGUGAUGAUGCAAUCUCCCCGCGGAAAGACGGAAAGACCCCAUGAACCUUUACUGUAGCUUUGUAUUGGACUUUGAACAGAUCUGUGUAGGAUAGGUGGGAGGCUUUGAAGCGGUGCCGCUAGGUAUCGUGGAGCCAACGUUGAAAUACCACCCUGGUGUGUUUGAGGUUCUAACCUAGGUCCAUUAUCUGGAUCGGGGACAGUGCAUGGUAGGCAGUUUGACUGGGGCGGUCUCCUCCCAAAGCGUAACGGAGGAGUUCGAAGGUACGCUAGUUACGGUCGGACAUCGUGACGAUAGUGCAAUGGCAUAAGCGUGCUUAACUGCGAGACUGACAAGUCGAGCAGAUGCGAAAGCAGGACAUAGUGAUCCGGUGGUUCUGUAUGGA
rnacentral:rRNA from 1 species